ensembl:rRNA 5S_rRNA 5S ribosomal RNA
GAUGAUGGCCAUACCACUUCGAUCCCAUUAACUAAGCAGGGUCAGGCCUGGCCAGUACUUGGAUGGGAGACCACCUGGGAAUACCAGGCUCUGUAGGCU